rnacentral:lncRNA from 1 species
AGCCAUUUCACUAGAAGACACGAGAUGCGCAGGACCCCUUGAGAUGAAAGAAACUGCCCUGCCCUCUCCCACCGUGUCAUUUUCUCUUGUUGACUUAAUAGCCCUGUCAAUAUUCAGCUACGUUUGUGGCCACAUUUCUCUGCCUUCCUGUAGCCAAUGGAGUGUGAAGAAGGGAAGUGUGCCACAUCUGGGACAAGAUCCCUUAAAGAAAGUGUCAUGCCCCUCCUUCUGGUGUCUUCCAUCCUGCUCUGGAGACGUUGACUCACCUUGGACCUGGGGGCACAGAACUGCGCCCAGAUGGCUGAGCAGGUGGCUGGGAGAGCCUGAUUUGGGGACCAUCCCUACUGCCCCCAAAUGCCUUCAUCCAGACUUUGACCGCAGAGGGAAGGAAACCUGAUCUUGUUUCAGCCAUCGUUAUUUGGGAUCUCUUUCACGUGCAGCCAAAAAGAAUCCUCCCGAAAGUGAAAAAUGGAAAACUAGACUCCUAUCCUUAUCAUCAGAGAUCCUGCCAUGAUGCCACACUCGGGGAUUCAGGGGGACACCCAGGAACUUGACAUGCCAGCGGGGAACAGAGAGAAGCCGGCAGCCGGGAGCUGCUCAGAGAUCCCCUGCGGAGUCACACGGCCAGCGCGGGCGCCGAGGACACCGGAUUCUCUCUGCUGGAGUAGGACCUGGCCCUGAGCUGGGCUGCCUUCACUUCCCGCUGCGGACCUCCUUGGAACAGAGGCUCAGUGACCUCAGUAAUGCCUGUAGGCCGAGAACAGGCUCUGGAAGAGUCCUGGGCAGGAAUGGGCCCCUCUGUCCUCCCAGUGUGAGUCUAGAUGGGGCGGCAACUCCCUUCCCUUGCUUCUCAGAGUGCGGCAUUUUACCACCCCUUCGCUGCCUUGGCCUUGGAGGUCAGACCUUCUGGAAGGAAAGGCAAUCCUGCAGUGAGUUUUGGCAAAAACUGAGCUUUGCCUCCUCUCUCGGCUGUAAUUCACCCCUGCCGUGGGGAAGACAUGAACUCUUCCAAGGAAAGGUGCUGACUUGCUGCUACGGGGAGAAGUUGUGCUCCCUGCUGGAGAGCGGCAGCGUGGGGCACUCUGUGCUGUCUCUGUGGUUUCUGCAGUGCCAGUGAAAGAAGGGAGGGGAAGCGUUCUCGUCCAUCAGACAGACAAACCAAGACCCAGAGCCCAGCAUCGCCCUCCCUCACCUGUCUUAGUCAAGGAACGGGACCUCGUAACUCCGACUGCCAACAUUUUCUGACUGACUUGGGUUUUGUGUCAAACUUCAAGACUGUCUUGGAAAGGCUCUGAUUAACCUCAGGCCAUAUGGUACCCCAAGUCCUACCUCCACCCCACGUGGACUGCGGGGCUGCUCGUGGAAGGCUUUCCAAGGGAAGAAAGAGGAAAUGUUAG